rnacentral:rRNA from 1 species
AUGGUGAUAACGGGUAACGGGGAAUCAGGGUUCGAUUCCGGAGAGGGAGCCUGAGAAACGGCUACCACUUCUAAGGAAGGCAGCAGGCACGCAAAUUACCCAAUCCCGGCACGGGGAGGUAGUGACGAAAAAUACGGAUACGGGACUCAACAGAGGCUCCGUAAUUCGAAUGAGUACACCUUAAAUCCUUUAACGAGGAUCAACUGGAGGGCAAGUCUGGUGCCAGCAGCCGCGGUAACUCCAGCUCCAGAAGCGUAUAUUAAAGUUGUUGCAGUUAAAAAGCUCGUAGUUGGAUCUGGGUCGCAUGGCUACAUGCCGUUGCUUGUAUUCUUGGCCUGGUCAAGACUGGGUCGAGUUUGCGAGUCGGUGUCGUGGUUGUGCAGCCUUUCUGCUGUGUCUGUUUCGACAGGUGCUGACUGAAUCGGUGAGCUCGUCUCGCUGGUUUGUUGGCAUGCUUCCGGAUGCCUUUAACCGGGUGUCGGGGGCGGACGGCACGUUUACUUUGAACAAAUUUGAGUGCUCAAAGCAGGCCUGUGUGCCUGAAAAUUCUUGCAUGGAAUAAUGGAAUAGGACUUCGGUUCUAUUUUGUUGGUUUUCGGAUCCGAAGUAAUGGUUAAGAGGGACAGACGGGGGCAUUUGUAUGGCGGUGUUAGAGGUGAAAUUCUUGGAUCGCCGCCAGACAAACUACAGCGAAAGCAUUUGCCAAGGAUGUUUUCAUUGAUCUGGAGCGAAAGUCAGAGGUUCGAAGACGAUCAGAUACCGUCCUAGUUCUGACCAUAAACGAUGCCAACUGACGAUCCGUGGUGGUUCUGCAAUUGACCCCGCGGGCAGUCCCCGGGAAACCUUUAAGUCUUUGGGCUCCGGGGGAAGUAUGGUUGCAAAGCUGAAACUUAAAGGAAUUGACGGAAGGGCACCACCAGGAGUGGAGCCUGCGGCUUAAUUCGACUCAACACGGGAAAACUCACCCGGCCCGGACACUGUGAGGAUUGACAGAUUGAUAGCUCUUUCUUGAUUCGGUGGUUGGUGGUGCAUGGCCGUUCUUAGUUGGUGGAGCGAUUUGUCUGGUUAAUUCCGAUAACGAACGAGACUUUGGCCUGCUAAAUAGUAUGCCUGUCCCCUGUGCUCGUGCGGGCAGCGGUGCUCACUGCUCUCGGGUGGUGGUGCCGUCUGCCGGCGGGUACUGCGCAGGUGUCUACUUCUUAGAGGGACAAGCGGCGUGACAGUCGCACGAAAAUGAGCAAUAACAGGUCUGUGAUGCCCUUAGAUGUCCGGGGCCGCACGUGCGCUACAAUGACGGUUUCAGCGAGUUUGGAAUCCUGGCCCGAAAGGGUUGGGCAAACUGUAUCAUCACCGUCGUGACUGGGAUCGGGGUUUGCAAUUAUCCCCCGUGAACC